UGCUCCUUGGCUGAGUUGGUUACAGCGUCCGACUGUUAUUAAGCAAUUAGUGUAUGGCAUGUAUCGGAAGGUCGAGAGUUCGACCCUCUCAGGAGCAG